AUACAAUUUUCCAGGCCAGAGGAACACCCCUUGUACCUGAUGGGGCACAGGAACACAAAGGACAUAAACCAAUCAGAACAAACAUACAGUCUGUGACACGCCCAUGUAUAGCACACAAUCCCUCCCCUCUGCUUGGGGGAUAAUUGAGUCAAGUCCUGUAAGUAACUCAAUUAUCGCCAGGCAGAAAAAAACACAUUUUCACAAAGUUCAG